GACGUCGAUAUUCGACGUCAUAAACACGAUCAACUUUGGUGUUUAUGACGUCGAUAUUCGACGUCAUAAACACGAUCAACUUAGGUGUUUAUGACGGCGAUACACGACGUCAUAAACGCGAUCAAGUUUGGUGUUUAUAACGUCGAUAUUCGACUUCAUAAACGCGAUCAACUUUGGUGUUUAUGACGUCGAUAUUCGACGUC
rnacentral:miRNA from 1 species